rnacentral:lncRNA from 1 species
GUGUAAUUCACAAAAUGAUACGUUCCAAUCAUUUAAUUUACGACGAUUAUUAGAACAUCCAUUAACAGCACAAGAAUUUCCUCCCCCUUUCCUAUAUUUUUCGUUACUUGCCAUGGUCAUAUAAACAUGAAAUAUGUGGAACAAAAACGUUAUAAAUGACCGAUAAUUAUAUAGACUAUAUAGGUUAUUGAUUGCACGUGCG